UACAGAGAGGGACGAAGACGGGGCAGGACCGGGGUUUAGAACGAUGCUUCCCCGGGCGAAGCGGGGGCGUCCCCAGCACAGGGUCCGGACGAGUGGCCCCGCUUUACAGAGGGAGGAGCCGGACGCACGCAGUGCGAGACUCAGAAGCUUUCUUUAAUCGCUGCCUUGUCUCCUAUGAGGAAUUUCUCCUGCGGAGCCGCCAGACGCAGCGCUCAGGGCCGUUAGGGAUUCUGAGGUAGGACCGCGGCGCCGUCUGUGCGGCUGAGCUCGGGUGUGGCAUUCACCGCUGGUCCCUGCCCUCCUCGUGUCCGUCUCGUCCCCACCCCAGUGUCUCCGCGAAAACACCCGGUUCCGUGUCACAUCCCGCGACUCUCCUGUAGCGUGCAGCGUGGGCGGGAAGGUGGGCGCGGUCUGUGGCGGGCACGCCCCUCGCCCUGGUCAAGUUCAAGAGUUAGUGUGGAUGUCUCCCGGGGGUUCCUCCCGGACACGCACCGCUGCACACACCGCGGGCACCCCCGAGGAGGUCUGCAGAGCCACGUCGUGCAGGGGUAACCGAGGUGCCCAGAAAAGAAGGAAGCCGCCUGGAACGGGUCAGUGAACCCUCUCCAGAAGUUCAGAAUUUGAGAAGUGGCCAGACGUUCAAAAAUCAAGAACGGGCGAGCUCCAGCUUCAGUGAACCCUUCCUGAACCCUCCCAGCUUGGAAUGGGCAUGAGAGGGGCAAAGCCCUUACCCCAUCACCCAGCUUCUCAACUCCAACCCCUAGAGCAAACACCACGUUAGGGACCAGCCUGUCAGUGUCCGGCCCACGCAUCCAGUCAGGAGCUAUGUGGGAUCUGAACCCAGGAGUGUGUCCUGGGAGUGCCCUCGGGCCCUCCCACCUCAGGGGUCUCUGAGUGGGGCAACCUGGUGUCGUCUUCUCUUUCAGCUGCUUGGUAUGGUUUCACUGAUUCUAUCUCCGUGAAUCCCGAUGGGGUCACAUACUAGAUGCCAGCGUGCAUGAACACACGAGCUCGUGCACCCUUGUGUAGCCACAUCCUCACACUACCAUUAACCUGUUCACACUCACUCACUGGCACACUCCACAUCCAGAAGCAUCUCCCACUGAUGGCAAUGCUCUCACAUACACUCCCACACGUAGGCAUUUGCCCCCACACAUCCACAUCCCACACAGCACAAUCCAGGCAAGCUCAGCCCUGCGCUGCCUGUGACUGUUACAGAAGCUCUGGACCCCAGGAGGAGAGGGUAGCCUUCACAGCCUGUGACUUGGAGCCUGCCCUUCCUCUCCAGCUAUGAUCACCAGCACCUUUGGAGAUCCAAGACUCCCGCUACCAAAGUCCUCAUGCCCUCUCUGGAGCCAUAGGGAACUAUAGAUGGCCCUAGGUCUCCGGGCAAAGCUUAUGGCAGCUUGAGUGGUUUGCACACUGGCUGCACAGGAGCAGUGAGACUCUCCCCAGUGUGAGUGUGCAAGGCGUGCACGUGAGUGUGGGCCAUCGUGUUGAGGGGCAGACAAACUCCGUGCUUGGGCCGCCAUAACGAAUGACCGUAAACAGAUUGGCUCAAAACAGCAGACGUUCUCUCGUGAUUCUAGUGGCCAGAAGUUCACAAGUCAAGAACGGACGAGUUCCAGCUUCAGUGAGGGAGUCGAGCAGAACUGUUGUCCUGCAAGGGUCUCAAAAGCCCACUGAGUCCGGCCAGUGCUCCCUGAUGGAAGGACGGACGGACGUCGUUGGCUUGACCUUGUGCAGGUGACCAUAGUUACAGUAACUAAGUGCAAUGGCCGGGACCUGGCCGGGAGACAGCAUCUCGCUUCGUUCCUUCCCAUCCUCCUGCUGUUCAUUCCUUUCCUCCCUCUUUCACGAUACUCCCUGAGCCUUGGUGAGGACGUCGAUAAGGAUGUGCCGUUUGGGACUCAGCCGUCUCUUACUCUCAGCGUUUGGACCAGUUGUGAGUCUCUGCUGACGGCUGCAGAGAGGAGCUUCUCUGGGCCAGGCCAGGAGCGACACUCGUCUAUAAGCGCAAAUAUUUAGAAGGCAGUUUGACAUGCCACGUAGCAAAACCGUAGGCUCCCACUAGGGCCUGUGCCUCCUGAGUUGUGGGCUUUGGGGUGGGUCUACAGUAUGUGCUGGCUGGUUUUUAUGUCAACUUGACACAAGCUAGAGUCAUCGGAGAGGAGGGAGCCUCAGUUGAGAAAAUGCCUCCAUAAGACUGGUCUGUAGCCGGGCCUAUAGGACAUUUCCUUAAUUAAUGAUUGAUGUGAUAGGGCAUGAUACAUUGUGGGUGAGGCCACCCCUGGGCAGGUGGUCCUGGGUGCUAUCAGAAAGCAGGCUGAGCAAAUCACAAGGUACACCCCAGUAAACAGCACUUAUCCAUGUCCUGUGCCUCAGUUCCUCCUGCCAGGCUCCUGCCCUGCUUGAGUUCCUGUCCCCAACUUCCCUUGGUGAUGGUUUGUUACCUGAUGUGUAGGUAAAAUAAACCCUCUCCUCCCCAA